rnacentral:rRNA from 1 species
GGCUAACGCUGGCGGCGUGUCUUAGCCAUGCAAGUCGAGCGGACUUAUGGGGUAACUUAUAAGUCAGCGGCGGACGGCGGAGUAACACGUAGCUAACCUACCCUCUGGACGGGGAUAACCUACCGAAAGGUGGGCUAAUACCCGAUGUAGUCAUCCUGUAUAGGGGUGAUGAAAGGUGGGCUUCUGUUUACAAGCUCAUGCUGGAGGAGGGGGCUGCGGCCUAUCAGGUAGUUGGUAGGGUAAUAGCCUACCAAGCCGAUGACGGGUAGCCGGCCUGAGAGGGUGGUCCCCCACAUGGGAACUGAGACACGGUCCCAACUCCUACGGGAGGCAGCAGUAAGGAAUAUUGCACAAUGGGCGCAAGCCUGAUGCAGCAACGCCGCGUGCCCGAGGACGGCCUUCGGGUUGUAAAGGGCUUUUCUGGCUGACGAGGAAGGACGGUAGGCCAGGAAUAAGCGUCGGCUAACUACGUG